CGUGUAGGCGGUCAGGUAAGUGGAAUGUGAAAUGCCCCGGCUCACCCGGGGACCGGCAUCCCAAACUGCCUGGCUUGAGUAUGGGAGAGGAUGGAGGAAUUCCUGGUGUAGCGGUGAAAUGCGUAGAUAUCAGGAGGAACACCGGUGGCGAAGGCGUCCAUCUGGCCCAAUACUGACGCUGAGGCGCGAAAGCUAGGGGGAGCAAACG
rnacentral:rRNA from 1 species